GGCCCUAUCGUCUAACGGUUAGGACAUAUCCUUCUCAAGGAUAGAAUCGCGGUUCGAUUCCGCGUAGGGUCACCA
rnacentral:tRNA from 1 species